UACGUAGGGUCCGAGCGUUGUCCGGAAUUAUUGGGCGUAAAGGGCUCGUAGGCGGUUUGUCGCGUCGGGGAGUGAAAACUCAGGGCUCAACCCUGAGCGUGCUUCCGAUACGGGCAGACUAGAGGUAUGCAGGGGAGAACGGAAUUCCUGGUGUAGCGGUGGAAUGCGCAGAUAUCAGGAGGAACACCGGUGGCGAAGGCGGUUCUCUGGGCAUUACCUGACGCUGGAGGAGCGAAAGCAUGGGGAGCGAACAGG
rnacentral:rRNA from 1 species